rnacentral:rRNA from 1 species
UGACACCCAGGCAGACGUGCCCUCAGCCAGAAGGCUUGGGGCGCAACUUGCGUUCAAAGACUCGAUGGUUCACGGGAUUCUGCAAUUCACACCAAGUAUCGCAUUUCGCUACGUUCUUCAUCGAUGCGAGAGCCGAGAUAUCCGUUGCCGAGAGUC